AACGAACGCUGGCGGCAUGCCUAACACAUGCAAGUCGAACGAAGGCUUCGGCCUUAGUGGCGCACGGGUGCGUAACGCGUGGGAAUCUGCCCUUGGGUUCGGAAUAACGGCUGGAAACGGCUGCUAAUACCGGACGAUGACGUUAAGUCCAAAGAUUUAUCGCCCAGGGAUGAGCCCGCGUGGGUUUAGCUUGUUGGUGGGGUAAAGGCCUACCAAGGGGACGAUCCUUAGCUGGUCUGAGAGGAUGAUCAGCCACACUGGGACUGGGACACGGCCCAGACUCCUACGGGAGGCAGCAGUGGGGAAUAUUGGACAAUGGGCGAAAGCCUGAUCCAGCAAUGCCGCGUGAGUGAUGAAGGCCUUAGGGUUGUAAAGCUCUUUUACCCGGGAAGAUAAUGACUGUACCGGGAGAAUAAGCCCCGGCUAACUCCGUGCCAGCCGCCGCAGUAAAAC
rnacentral:rRNA from 1 species